rnacentral:tRNA from 1 species
GCUUCGAUAGCUUAAUUAAGAGCAUAGCACUGAAGAUGCUAGGGUAACAGUUUUGUUUCAGAGCA